rnacentral:lncRNA from 1 species
AGACUUCAACACAUACAACUCCAACUCACCACCGAAAUUCAAAUUGUGAACUUUGCUCCUAAUUUUUCUUCUUCCUCUACUUGUUAUCAAAACAAUCAGAUUACAAGCCUAGUCAACUCGAUAUAGAAUAGUUUCGGUUGAACUCAGUCAGUUUUGGUCAACUCGAUCAAACUCAGAUCCAAUCAACCCAGCUUGACCCGACUCAGUCAAACCAGUCAAAGUCAAAACCGGUCAACUUAAUACCAUCAAUCAAUCAAUCAAACAACAAAUCAACCGAUCAGUUGUGUAUUGAUCACCCAAUCACCCAAUUUGAACCAGAUCAAUUGGGAAUUCAACACGACCACAAUCGCGUAUCAAAAAAAUAGUCAUGAACUCGAACCAGUUCAUCCACAAAAGUGGAAUACCAGUUCUUCAACAAGGUGAUACACAAUGCAGCACUUAAUUGGAGAUCGCCACAGCCAAUUAUUCAUAAUCGAACACAACUCUUGAUCUUUGAUUCACGAAAUUGACUCAAAUCGUAAGCAAUUCUUGUGGAAUCCACUCAAGUUGAACACGAUCCAUGUUUACAUCACCAGGCGUGACCCCUCGUUCAACAUUCAGCUAAAAUUGUUGCUACGACAAUAUAACUUGUUUAAAAAUAAUUGUGUAAAACAAAAGUCACAACAUUUUAAAGUUUAUAAUAUAAAAAUAUAAUAAGAAGUGUCAUCAGCACUCUUACAAAAGUAUUGAUUGGACGUUUUAGAGUAUUUAUAGGAGCACUCAUUAGGAGUGCUUUUAUCAAUUACCUUAUUUCUCAAUGACAUUAGAUGGGUCUUUGUUGACAAAAUAAUUUGGUUGAUUAACUGUUUUAUACACGAGACCUAUAUACACGAGACCUACCCAAUUAUCCCUUAAAUUUAAAUCAUCAAAUAUAUAAAUAAGUUUAAAAAAAAUCAAUAGGUUUAAUUGAAUCUAUGAGAAUCACCUAACUCGCUUAUGUCGAUAGUGUCACUCGAACCCAUUGUAUCGAAAAACAUAUCGUGCGUGUUUGGCAAAGUUAUAAGUAAUAAUUUUUACUUUUUGUCUUGAAAAUUGUGUCAAAGUAUUUGGCACAGUUCUGCUUUUGCUUAUGGGCCCAAAAUAACUUAUAAAAGUUGAAAAAGAAUUGAUUCUUGGAAAUUCAAUUAUUAAAUUUUUAAUUUUUUUUUUAAAAAUAAUAAGUAAUUCUAACAUAAAUUCAACUAUAUCAAACACCCUCACUGAAACAAAUAAGGUUAAUAAGUUUUACACUCUAAAUGCAUUCUAUUCUUUGUUUUUAUUAUAUAAAGUUACAAUAAAGCUCUCGACACUUUUGUCAAUUACCAUAAUUGUUCUUCUUCAUACCAUUAUAUAUUGGGGUUUUUUUUAUCCUUGUAUUGGUAAUUUAGGCAUUUAUUCAAAAACUGCAUAAUAAAGACAUAAAGUGGAGUGUAUUUGGUGAAAAACAAAGUGCAAAAAUCAUCACUGAAAAAAUAUUGGUAUAUAUUGUAUAAUUUCUAGUUUUUUGACAAUUUUAUACAUGUGGCAUCACUAGAAAAGAGUUUGAAUUCUUGAACAUAUCCAAAAAAAUACUUUGAAAAACCUUUAUAAAUAAUAUGUAACGUUCCAGGGCACAAACACGUUUGAUACCACGAGAGAGAAAUUUCGCUACCCCUUUUUAUUUUUGUCAAUAAAAUUUCAGUUUGUAUGUCAUUACUUGCAAAAAAAAAUUAUGUCAGCCAGCCACGGGACAUGUGAUAGUUUGUUUUGUUCGAGCUGCAUAUUAAAAAAAUGACACAAAGGGAGAUUGAAAGAAGAUGAUCCAGAGGGGUAGGGAUUAAUAAUAAUAGUAAUAGUAAUAAAAUAAUAAUAAUAAUAAGGGUCCUUGAAUCCAAUUUUCAAGUCUUUCCUCUCCCCAAACAUUAGUUCUCUCUUAAACAGACAUACAUGAUACAUCAAUGUUAUAUUUUAAGCUGAUAAACUGAAGUUGGAGAGCAUCUCCACGUGUUCCUCAAAGUUUUCCCCAUUCAUUAAAUGCCAAGUCCCACGUAUUUCUUUUCUGUUUUUAGUUCUUUUUAAUUCUAUCGUAAAUCUUGACUUGAGUUCUUAUAAUAAUAGCCUCAUUCAUCCACUCUCUCCCCCUAAUCUUACGUUGAACUACUCUCUCUCUCUCUCUCUCUCUCUCUCUCUCUCUCAGGUCAGUCUCAUCAUAUCCCUCCCCCAUCCCUACUUGAGUCUUCAACAAUACCUACCCAUCACUCCAAAUUUUCUCAAAACCUCUUCUUAUAAUAUGGGCUCAAUACACAAACACACAAUCUACAACUACGAAUCCCAGCCUCUCUCCUCGCCAAUCAAACAAUACCAAAGACAAAUCCGAAGCCCAACCUACCAACCUCCCUUACCCCCCACCUCAGACAAUGGCUUCCCCAUCCUAGCCAUUGCAGUCCUCUGCAUAAUGGCCAUAUCUUUCCUAAUAGCAUCCUACUACAUCUUCCUCUCAAAA